AGCUUCUCCACACAGGGACCACACUCCUUCUUCCACUUUACCCACUGCCCAGGACAGGGGCUCUUGAUGGUUUUUGGGCCUUGUGAUCAGCUCCUAAAAGUUCUCAAAGCCACUGCAAUGAGAUCAGAGGUAGAAAGCACUCCUCCAAGGGAGGUGUGUCCUGAAAUGGAGAGAGGAAAUGAAGACGCUCAGUGUCUCUUGCUAAGAUGUCCCAGAAGUCACAAUUGAGCUUUUAAAGAGAAUCUCUUUGACUUUGGAGGAAGAAAAUGGACCCCACCCUUGAAUAAGAACAGCUGCCUCCUUGGAUAGAGGACACCUGGAUGCCACUCUUCCCACCAUGGACUUCUUGCCACAGUGCCCUCGGAAAAAGCUUUGAGACUCCUGCCACUACCACCCCACCCCUCGGUGUAAAU
rnacentral:lncRNA from 1 species